AGGAUGAACGCUGGCGGCGUGCCUAACACAUGCAAGUCGAGCGAUUUUUUUUCGGAAGAGCGGCGGACGGGUGAGUAACGCGUGGGUAACCUGCCCUGUACACACGGAUAACAUACCGAAAGGUAUGCUAAUACGGGAUAACAUAUGAGAGUCACAUGACUUUUAUAUCAAAGCUUUUGCGGUACAGGAUGGACCCGCGUCUGAUUAGCUAGUUGGUAAGGUAACGGCUUACCAAGGCGACGAUCAGUAGCCGACCUGAGAGGGUGAUCGGCCACACUGGAACUGAGACACGGUCCAGACUCCUACGGGAGGCGGCAGUGGGGAAUAUUGCACAAUGGGCGAAAGCCUGAUGCAGCAACGCCGCGUGAGCGAUGAAGGCCUUCGGGUCGUAAAGCUCUGUCCUCAAGGAAGAUAAUGACGGUACUUGAGGAGGAAGCCCCGGCUAACUACGUGCCAGCAGCCGCGGUAAUACGUAGGGGGCUAGCGUUAUCCGGAAUUACUGGGCGUAAAGGGUGCGUAGGCGGUCUUUCAAGCCAGAAGUGAAAGGCUACGGCUCAACCGUAGUAAGCUUUUGGAACUGUAGGACUUGAGUGCAGGAGAGGAGAGUAGAAUUCCUAGUGUAGCGGUGAAAUGCGUAGAUAUUAGGAGGAAUACCAGUAGCGAAGGCGGCUCUCUGGACUGUAACUGACGCUGAGGCACGAAAGCGUGGGGAGCGAACAGGAUUAGAUACCCUGGUAGUCCACGCCGUAAACGAUGAGUACUAGGUGUCGGGGGUUACCCCCCUCGGUGCCGCAGCUAACGCAUUAAGUACUCCGCCUGGGAAGUACGCUCGCAAGAGUGAAA
rnacentral:rRNA from 1 species